rnacentral:lncRNA from 1 species
CCUUAACACAUUUCAGGAUAUGCAAAGAAAGCGUGGGGCAGCUGCCAUUCCCACUGAGCCCUGCCCUACAGUCUUACUGGCCCUUGGGGCAGAGGGCAGUGUGGACAGUUCGAGGGCUCACACUGGGAGGCAUUCAAGGCAUGGGACGGGGCGGCAGGGGCAGUUGCCAGGGCAGCCUGACAGCAGUGGUACCCAGACCCUAGGAUGUGCCUUUUAAUUCUCACCCCAGGCCCCGGAGCCUGGACAUCUAUUCUAACUCGUAAAUCUAAGGUGAUCCCCAGGGCCAUGCAGCCCCCAAAAAUGCCCAUCAAAGCUACAGCCACUGUACUGCUCACUGGGGCCACCCUGUGGCCAUCUCAAGGCCCCAGUUCUCCUCCUUGGGGCUUUCUUGUCCCAGGCCACACAUCCCUCCUCAGGCAACUUUCCUGCUGUGCCUCCACCAGGGACCUUUGCUGUGGACAGCUUACCUGGAUGGAACAGGAAGACAGUACAGCACGCUGCCCACAGGUCUCUGAGUGGACGUCCAACAGGUUGAUUCUCAGUGCCAGAAUCUGAGCAACCCACUGCAACGGCUAAAACAGCGGUAUUAAGAUUCAUGGUGCUUUUCUGCCUGGGAGUCUCCGGUCUGGCUUCCUUCCUGAAUCCCUUCUUCAAUCAGCUGAAUGGGUGACUCUACCUUCACGGAGCUCCAAUUGUCGACCAAAAGGGGACCCAGUCCCGUUUACUCUGCACCGAGAACCGCAGCACCGGCCACAAGAGUCGCACUGGUGACCCGUGGGGCUCCUCCGCUGGGAAUCUCCUGGUCCGUGAGCAACAAAAAUUUGUCUGAAAGUGUGGCGUCCUCUCAUUCUCUGUGCUUUCACUGGGAGCUAAAAGCCUGAGCUGCUAGUGAUUGGCCAUCCUGGAUCUCUCUCCUGAAAUUUUUUUUUUUUUUUUUUUUGAGUCAGGGUCUCACUCUGCCACCCAGGCUGGAGUGCAGAGGUACAAUCAUGGCUCACUGGAGCCUCGAUCUCCCAGGCUCAAGCAAUCCUCCUACCUCAGUCUCCCAAGUAACUGGGACUACAGGCAUGUGCCACUAUGCCUGGCUAACGUUUUAUUUAUCUUUUUUGUGGAGAUAGGGUCUUGUUAUGUUGCCCAGGCUGAUCUCGAACUCCUGGGUUUAAGUAAUCCUCUGCCUCAGCCCCUCAAAGUGCUGGAAUUGCAAGCAUGAGCCACCGUGCCGGCCUAAACUAUUGAAUUAGUAUACUUAAGAUGGGUAAAUCAUGUGGUAUGUGACUUAUAUCUCAAUAAACCUGUUAACAAAAAGGGGGAGUGGCCUGAGAUGACCCCUGGGUGGCAGGAUACCUGGUGCCCAGGUGUAGUUUU